ACUCAUCAUUCCAGCCAAUCAGCAGCAGACCCUCCCUCCCAGACCCUCCCACCUCCUGGACAGCAUCCAUUUUGAAGCUGCAUUCUUAGUGAGCUGUCCAGGAGUUGGGAGGGUCUGGGAGGGAGGGUCUGCUGCUGAUUGGCUGGAAUGAUGAG